rnacentral:rRNA from 1 species
GAUGAACGCUGGCGGCGUGCUUAACACAUGCAAGUCGAACGGACUGUACUUCGGUACAGUUAGUGGCGGACGGGUGAGUAACGCGUGGGUAACCUGCCUCACACUGGGGGAUAACAGUUAGAAAUAGCUGCUAAUACCGCAUAAGCGCACAGGGCCGCAUGGCCUGGUGUGAAAAACUCCGGUGGUGUGAGAUGGACCCGCGUCUGAUUAGGUAGUUGGUGAGGUAACGGCUCACCAAGCCGACGAUCAGUAGCCGGCCUGAGAGGGUGAACGGCCACAUUGGGACUGAGACACGGCCCAAACUCCUACGGGAGGCAGCAGUGGGGAAUAUUGCACAAUGGGGGGAAACCCUGAUGCAGCGACGCCGCGUGAGUGAAGAAGUAUUCGGUAUGUAAAGCGUCUAUCAGCAGGGAAGAAAGUGACGGUACCUGAC